rnacentral:lncRNA from 1 species
GACAUCAUAACUAGACUUUGCAGAUGUGGCACCCACUCUUCCCCCAUAAACCCUGAGCUCUCUGUGCUCAGAGCCCUCCCUGCUUCCUCGGUCCCUCAUACUUUUCCUGAGCCUCAGUGCCUUGGUACAUUCUGCUUCCUCCACUCCAAGGUGCUUCUUUCUCUUCUCCCUUAAAACUUCCCUCCCUAACCUUUAAAGUCCAGCUUGAGUCCCAAAGGCACCUGAUCUUCUGGGAAAACAUGACCACCAAAUAUCAACUCCAGGCCUAUGAGGCCUAAUCGGAUGAUUAAGGACAAGAUCAGCAGGAGGUAACCACAGUGAUGUGACCUGCAGCCUCCCAGCAAUCAAAGUACUUGGAAUCUUGGAAUCUGGGCCCACUCUGCAGCCUGGGACAGAGCUGGUUUCACCCUCCGAUGCUAAGCAGAAGAGAGAGGAAGCUGAGUUUGUACCAGGUGUAAGUAUUCUACAGAUGAUUUAAAGCAUAGUACGGCCUUGGUGUCUGUCAUGGACUGAUCUG